AAAACCAAUGAAUGAGCAAAUUGUGGGUCAGGUGGCGGAGUGAAUGAGCAUGAGUGCGUGAGCAAAAAUUUCAGCCCAAUGGAAUGAGCGUGAGUUGACAAACGAAGUGUGUGCGGACUAGUAAGUUUGAGUGAGUCAGCACAAAACUGAUCAGGAAUUGAAUGGCCAUGAGUAACUGAGUGAGAAUGAGGACAGGCAGCGGUAAGUGGAGUCACGACGGAACUCGGGGAGCAUGAGUGAACAGGCAGGGGGGACCUGAUGGGUGUUGAUGAUGCAAAUUUUGUAUAUGUGCCUGGGUAUAAGAUUUGCUACUUCCAACCUGCAGCCGCCUUUUGCAAUUGUGCAUUUUGUGUUGCGCAAUGAAGUCGAAGUUAUCCCGUGCUCGUGGCUGUCCGGGAAUACAUGCAUGUGGCCAAACUUACCAAGCCACAAAGUCAAAAAGCUCAUAAGAAAAGGAUGUCCUCCUGGAAGUUCCUGCGAAGAACGUGAGGUGGAAGUGAAAGGAAUCUUCAAAUGUUACGAGGAUGCCAGAAAGAUGCUUCCCGUUUCCGAAUAUACCUCUGACCUCGUGGACGAACUACCCCCAAAGAGGAUCCGACGUCCCAAGGUGUUCGAAAGUUCUUCAGAUGGCGACUUUCCUGCAGUUCCUCCAAGCUUUGCAGCCAGGGAAAAGUUGCUUUCCAAACGCACACCAGUGCAUGCUGUUACCUUGGGUGACUCCGAACCUUCUACCCUUGUUGAUCACAGGGAUUCAUCUAUGACAGGGACAC